rnacentral:rRNA from 2 species
UGAGGAAUAUUGGUCAAUGGGCGCAAGCCUGAACCAGCCAUCCCGCGUGAAGGAAGACGGCCCUAUGGGUUGUAAACUUCUUUUGUACAUGAAGAAAGGGACCUACGGGUAGGUUCGUGACGGUAAUGUACGAAUAAGCAUCGGCUAACUCCGUGCCAGCAGCCGCGGUAAUACGGAGGAUGCGAGCGUUAUCCGGAUUCAUUGGGUUUAAAGGGUACGUAGGUGGCCCGGUAAGUCAGUGGUGAAAACCUGCCGCUUAACGGUAGGCGUGCCAUUGAUACUGUCGGGCUUGAGUGCAGUUGAGGCAGGCGGAAUGUGUAGUGUAGCGGUGAAAUGCAUAGAUAUUACACAGAACUCCGAUUGCGAAGGCAGCUUGCUAAAGUGCAACUGACGCUGAUGUACGAAAGCGUGGGUAGCGAACAGG